UCACCGACUUUUUUCAAAGUCACAGAAUUUAUUGAUAAUUUUGAGA
rfam:Habropoda laboriosa contig23113, whole genome shotgun sequence.